rnacentral:tRNA from 1 species
GGUAAAAUGGUCGAGUAGGCAUUAGACUGUAAAUCUAAAGACAGAGGUAAANUCCUCUUUUUNCCA